rnacentral:rRNA from 1 species
AUUGAACGCUGGCGGCAGGCUUAACACAUGCAAGUCGAGCGGAGAUGAGGUGCUUGCACCUUAUCUUAGCGGCGGACGGGUGAGUAAUGCUUAGGAAUCUGCCUAUUAGUGGGGGACAACAUUCCGAAAGGAAUGCUAAUACCGCAUACGUCCUACGGGAGAAAGCAGGGGAUCUUCGGACCUUGCGCUAAUAGAUGAGCCUAAGUCGGAUGAGCUAGUUGGUGGGGUAAAGGCCUACCAAGGCGAUGAUCUGUAGCGGGUCUGAGAGGAUGAUCCGCCACACUGGGACUGAGACACGGCCCAGACUCCUACGGGAGGCAGCAGUGGGGAAUAUUGGACAAUGGGGGGAACCCUGAUCCAGCCAUGCCGCGUGUGUGAAGAAGGCCUUAUGGUUGUAAAGCACUUUAAGCGAGGAGGAGGCUACUGAGACUAAUACUCUUGGAUAGUGGACGUUACUCGCAGAAUAAGCACCGGCUAACACUGUGCCAGCCGCCGCGGUAACAC